rnacentral:rRNA from 1 species
CUUGGGUGCUCGAGUGGCGAACGGGUGAGUAACACGUGGGUGAUCUGCCCUGCACUUCGGGAUAAGCCUGGGAAACUGGGUCUAAUACCGGAUAGGACCAUCGUUUAGUGUCGGUGGUGGAAAGUUUUUCGGUGUGGGAUGAGCUCGCGGCCUAUCAGCUUGUUGGUGGGGUAAUGGCCUACCAAGGCGUCGACGGGUAGCCGGCCUGAGAGGGUGUACGGCCACAUUGGGACUGAGAUACGGCCCAG